UGCCAUCCGCACCAGUGU
rnacentral:misc_RNA from 1 species